GAAAUGCGAUAAGUAAUGUGAAUUGCAGAAUUCAGUGAAUCAUCGAAUCUUUGAACGCACAUUGCGCCCCUUGGUAUUCCGAGGGGCAUGCCUGUUCGAGCGUCAUUACACCACUCAAGCUCUGCUUGGUAUUAGGCCAUCGCCCCGCGAAAGCAGGGCGUGCCUCAAAAACCUCGGCGGAGCCUCACCGGCUUUGGGCGUAGUAGAAUUUCUCAACGUCCUUGAAGUCUCCGGUAGGGCCUCUUUUGCCGUUAAACCCCAAACUAUUUUUAAGGUUGACCUCGGAUCAGGUAGGGAUACCCGCUGAACUUAA
rnacentral:misc_RNA from 1 species